AAUGCAGGGAUUGUGUGUAUCGACUUGGUGCAUACAAUGCACCAAUUAGUCGAAAGAGUUCCCUGCAAUAUAUAAUUUCGGGGAAGAUGGGCAGUUGUGAUUCAAUUCUCUAUUGAUUUUUUCAACAAUCAUCUUCCCCAUAUUU
rnacentral:snoRNA from 1 species